AGUGAACGCUGGCGGUAGGCCUAACACAUGCAAGUCGAACGGCAGCACAGUAAGAGCUUGCUCUUACGGGUGGCGAGUGGCGGACGGGUGAGGAAUACAUCGGAAUCUACUUUUUCGUGGGGGAUAACGUAGGGAAACUUACGCUAAUACCGCAUACGACCUGCGGGUGAAAGCAGGGGAUCUUCGGACCUUGCGCGAUUGAAUGAGCCGAUGUCGGAUUAGCUAGUUGGCGGGGUAAAGGCCCACCAAGGCGACGAUCCGUAGCUGGUCUGAGAGGAUGAUCAGCCACACUGGAACUGAGACACGGUCCAGACUCCUACGGGAGGCAGCAGUGGGGAAUAUUGGACAAUGGGCGCAAGCCUGAUCCAGCCAUACCGCGUGGGUGAAGAAGGCCUUCGGGUUGUAAAGCCCUUUUGUUGGGAAAGAAAAGCAGCAGGUUAAUACCCCGCUGUCCUGACGGUACCCAAAGAAUAAGCACCGGCUAACUUCGUG
rnacentral:rRNA from 1 species